UACGAAGGUGGCAAGCGUUGUUCGGAUUUACUGGGCGUACAGGGCGCGUAGGCGGUUGGAUAAGCCCUCCGUGAAAUCCCGGGGCUCAACUCCGGAUGUGCAUAGGAUACUGGAGGACUUGAGACUGGUAGAGGCGAGCGGAAUUCCUGGUGUAGCGGUGGAAUGCGUAGAUAUCAGGAAGAACACCGGUGGCGAAGGCGGCUCGCUGGGCCAGUUCUGACACUCAUCCGCGAAAGCGUGGGAGCAAACAGG
rnacentral:rRNA from 1 species